AGUGAACGCUGGCGGUAGGCCUAACACAUGCGAGUCGAACGGCAGCACAGUAAGAGCUUGCUCUUACGGGUGGCGAGUGGCGGACGGGUGAGGAACACAUCGGAAUCUACUUUUUCGUGGGGGAUAACGUAGGGAAACUUACGCUAAUACCGCAUACGACCUACGGGUGAAAGCAGGGGAUCUUCGGACCUUGCGCGAUUGAAUGAGCCGAUGUCGGAUUAGCUAGUUGGCGGGGUAAAGGCCCACCAAGGCGACGAUCCGUAGCUGGUCUGAGAGGAUGAUCAGCCACACUGGAACUGAGACACGGUCCAGACUCCUACGGGAGGCAGCAGUGGGGAAUAUUGGACAAUGGGCGCAAGCCUGAUCCAGCCAUACCGCGUGGGUGAAGAAGGCCUUCGGGUUGUAAAGCCCUUUUGUUGGGAAAGAAAAGCAGCAGGUUAAUACCCCGCUGUUCUGACGGUACCCAAAGAAUAAGCACCGGCUAACUUCGUG
rnacentral:rRNA from 1 species